UGUCUGUCAGUGGCUUGUGGAUCUUUACAUUGUUAGUUAAUUUCCUAACCUGGCAUGGGACACCCAUUCAUACAGUUUUGAUAAAGUACUUAUUGGGCGCUUACAAUAACGAGCGUAGCUGUCCUCAGUUUAGAUCAUCCUGUACGUCUCCUCUCCGGUGUUUCCUGCAUUCCCGGUGUGUGAUUGUGUGUGUGUGUGUGUGUG